rfam:Oryza barthii chromosome 12, whole genome shotgun sequence.
AAAAAGACAAACCCUGGGUUUCCGUGCCAACGUUUGACUGUCCGUUUUAUAUGAAAUUUUUUUAUAAUUAGUAUUUUCAUUGUUGUUAGAUGAUAAAACAUGAUUAAUACUUUAUAUGUGACUUAUCUUUUUAAUUUUUUUUAUAAUUUUUUCAAAUAAGACAGACGGUGAAAACGUUGGACACGAAAAUCAGGGUUUGUCUUUUU